rnacentral:rRNA from 1 species
UACGUAGGGUGCAAGCGUUGUCCGGAAUUAUUGGGCGUAAAGAGCUCGUAGGCGGCUUGUCGCGUCUGCUGUGAAAACCCGAGGCUCAACCUCGGGCCUGCAGUGGGUACGGGCAAGCUAGAGUGCGGUAGGGGAGAUUGGAAUUCCUGGUGUAGCGGUGGAAUGCGCAGAUAUCAGGAGGAACACCGAUGGCGAAGGCAGAUCUCUGGGCCGUAACUGACGCUGAGGAGCGAAAGCAUGGGGAGCGAACAGG